GGAGAGAUGGCAGAGUGGUUGAUUGCGGCAGUCUCGAAAACUGCUAGAGACUUUAUGUCUCUCGUGGGUUCAAAUCCCACUCUCUCCG
rnacentral:tRNA from 2 species